rnacentral:pre_miRNA from 1 species
GUUUUAGUAUAAGUGUGUCCCAUGUCAUAUUUGGGAUAUACUUACACUAAAA